rnacentral:rRNA from 1 species
UGGACAGGUGGUGCAUGGUUGUCGUCAGCUCGUGUCGUGAGAUGUUGGGUUAAGUCCCGCAACGAGCGCAACCCCUAUUGUUAGUUGCCAUCAUUCAGUUGGGCACUCUAGCGAGACUGCCGGUAAUAAACCGGAGGAAGGUGGGAUGACGUCAAAUCAUCAUGCCCCUUAUGACCUGGGCUACACACGUGCUACAAUGGUCGGUACAACGAGUUGCGAGUCGGUGACGGCGAGCUAAUCUCUUAAAGCCAAUCUCAGUUCGGAUUGUAGGCUGCAACUCGCCUACAUGAAGUCGGAAUCGCUAGUAAUCGCGGAUCAGCACGCCGCGGUGAAUACGUUCCCGGGCCUU